rnacentral:rRNA from 1 species
AACGAACGCUGGCGGCAUGCCUAACACAUGCAAGUCGAACGCGACCUUCGGGCCUAGUUGCGCACGGGUGCGUAACGCGUGGGAACCUGCCCUUAGGUUCGGAAUAACUCCCCGAAAGGUGUGCUAAUACCGGAUAAUGUCUUCGGACCAAAGCUUUAUCGCCUUUGGAUGGGCCCGCGUUGGAUUAGCUAGUUGGUAGGGUAAAAGCCUACCAAGGCGACGAUCCAUAGCUGGUCUGAGAGGAUGAUCAGCCACACUGGGACUGAGACACGGCCCAGACGCCGACGGGAGGCAGCAGUGGGGAAUAUUGGACAAUGGGCGAGAGCCUGAUCCAGCAAUGCCGCGUGAGUGAUGAAGGCCUUAGGGUUGUAAAGCUCUUUUACCCGGGAUGAUAAUGACAGUACCGGGAGAAUAAGCUCCGGCUAACUCCGUG